CCUGUGAAGCCGAUGGUCCUGGGUUCGAAUCCCGGUAAGGGCAUUUAUUUGUGUGAUGAGCACAGAUAUUUGUUCCCGAGUCAUGGGUGUUUUCUAUGUAUUUAAAUAGAUAGAUAGAUAGAUAGAUAAACUGUUUAUUUGUUUGCCACAAUACACACAA